UACGGAGGAUGCGAGCGUUAUCCGGAUUUAUUGGGUUUAAAGGGUGCGUAGGCGGCUUUUUAAGUCAGCGGUGAAAUUUUGCAGCUUAACUGUAACAGUGCCUUCGAAACUGGUUUCCUUGAGUGUAGAUGAAGUAGGCGGAAUUUGUGGUGUAGCGGUGAAAUGCAUAGAUAUCACGAGGAACUCCGAUUGCGCAGGCAGCUUACUAAACCACUACUGACGCUCAUGCACGAAGGCGUGGGGAUCAAACAGGAUUAGAUACCCGGGUAGU
rnacentral:rRNA from 1 species